rnacentral:rRNA from 1 species
AUUGAACGCUGGCGGCAUGCCUUACACAUGCAAGUCGAACGGUAACAGGUUAAGCUGACGAGUGGCGAACGGGUGAGUAAUGUAUCGGAACGUGCCCAGUCGUGGGGGAUAACUGCUCGAAAGAGCAGCUAAUACCGCAUACGACCUGAGGGUGAAAGCGGGGGAUCGCAAGACCUCGCGCGAUUGGAGCGGCCGAUAUCAGAUUAGGUAGUUGGUGAGGUAAAGGCUCACCAAGCCGACGAUCUGUAGCUGGUCUGAGAGGACGACCAGCCACACUGGGACUGAGACACGGCCCAGACUCCUACGGGAGGCAGCAGUGGGGAAUUUUGGACAAUGGGCGCAAGCCUGAUCCAGCCAUGCCGCGUGCGGGAAGAAGGCCUUCGGGUUGUAAACCGCUUUUGUCAGGGAAGAAAAGGUUCUGGCUAAUACCUGGGACUCAUGACGGUACUUGAAGAAUAAGCACCGGCUAACUACGUG